rnacentral:rRNA from 1 species
UACGGAGGGGGUUAGCGUUGUUCGGAAUGACUGGGCGUAAAGCGCGCGUAGGCGGAUCGGAAAGUCGGGGGUGAAAUCCCGGGGCUCAACCCCGGAAUGGCCUUCGAAACUCCCGGUCUUGAGUUCGAGAGAGGUGAGUGGAAUUCCGAGUGUAGAGGUGAAAUUCGUAGAUAUUCGGAGGAACACCAGUGGCGAAGGCGGCUCACUGGGACGGUACUGACGCUGAGACGCGAAAGCGUGGGGAGCGAACAGG